rnacentral:rRNA from 1 species
AGAGUUUGAUCAUGGCUCAGAAUGAACGCUGGCGGCAUGGAUUAGGCAUGCAAGUCGAACGUACUCCCUUCGGGGAGAAAGUGGCGAAAGGGUGAGUAACACGUGAGCAACCUGCCUCCGGAUCCGGAAUAAUCCAGGGAAACUUGGUCUAAAACCGGAUGAAGACAUUGGUCCGCAUGGUCUAAUGUUAAAAUAUUUAUAGUCCGGAGAGGGGCUCGCGGCCCAUUAGCUUGUUGGCGGGGUAAUGGCCCACCAAGGCUACGACGGGUAGGUGGUCUGGGAGGAUGGUCACCCACACUGGGACUGAGACACUGCCCAGACUCCUACGGGAGGCUGCAGUCGAGAAUCUUCCGCAAUGGGCGCAAAGCCUGACGGAGCGAUGCCGCGUGAGGGAUGAAGGCCUUCGGGUUGUAAACCUCUGUCAUCCGGGACGAAAACAAUGACGGUACCGGAAAAGGAAGCCACGGCUAACCACGUGCCAGCAGCGGC